rnacentral:rRNA from 1 species
CGAGCAGGUGCGAAAGCAGGUCAUAGUGAUCCGGUGGUUCUGAAUGGAAGGGCCAUCGCUCAACGGAUAAAAGGUACUCCGGGGAUAACAGGCUGAUACCGCCCAAGAGUUCAUAUCGACGGCGGUGUUUGGCACCUCGAUGUCGGCUCAUCACAUCCUGGGGCUGAAGUAGGUCCCAAGGGUAUGGCUGUUCGCCAUUUAAAGUGGUACGCGAGCUGGGUUUAGAACGUCGUGAGACAGUUCGGUCCCUAUCUGCCGUGGGCGCUGGAGAACUGAGGGGGGCUGCUCCUAGUACGAGAGGACCGGAGUGGACGCAUCACUGGUGUUCGGGUUGUCAUGCCAAUGGCACUGCCCGGUAGCUAAAUGCGGAAGAGAUAAGUGCUGAAAGCAUCUAAGCACGAAACUUGCCCCGAGAUGAGUUCUCCCUGAGACUUUAGGUCUCCUGAAGGAACGUUGAAGACGACGACGUUGAUAGGCCGGGUGUGUAAGCGCAGCGAUGCGUUGAGCUAACCGGUACUAAUGAACCGUGAGGCUUAACCUUAC